GGGUGGUAAUGCCGGAUGCUCCAGUUGACCGCAUGGUCCUCUGGGAAAGCUUUUGCGGUAUGGGAUGGGGUCGCGUCCUAUCAGCUUGAUGGCGGGGUAACGGCCCACCAUGGCUUCGACGGGUAGCCGGCCUGAGAGGGCGACCGGCCACAUUGGGACUGAGAUACGGCCCAGACUCCUACGGGAGGCAGCAGUGGGGAAUAUUGCACAAUGGGCGCAAGCCUGAUGCAGCGACGCCGCGUGCGGGAUGACGGCCUUCGGGUUGUAAACCGCUUUUGACUGGGAGCAAGCCCUUCGGGGUGAGUGUACCUUUCGAAUAAGCACCGGCUAACUACGUGCCAGCAGCCGCGGUAAU
rnacentral:rRNA from 1 species